GGAAGGACACAAGGAGUUCGAACGAAGUGGACAUCAAAAGUUCAGACUGUCUUGCCACGGUCGUAAAACAACUGGGGGGGAAGACCGCAAGUCCAUUAUCUAAAUCUAAUUAUCACGACGAAGGCCAUCCCAGCCUUUACCGUGUUGCAUUAUGGGUGUACAACUGCGCAUGCUCAGUUUACCAAAUCCAUUUCAACAUGGCGGCGUACGGCAAAGAAGAUUUCGUUUAUGGUUCGGACUUGAGCGAUUUGAGCGAUUUUUCUGAAGAUGAUUUGAACGUGAAUGAGUUAUCCGACAUCAGCAACGACUCUGAAGACGAUGGUCGUCAGUACUGUGUUUGUAAUGAAGCGUCCACAUCAGAAAUGAUCGCUUGCGAUGACGACCAGUGCACCGUUGUUUGGUGGCAUUACGAUUGUGCUGGCCUCAGCAGAGAAACAAUCCCGGAGCAUUCGUGGAUUUGUAAUCGUUGUCGGCCAGCAAGCUCAACUAAAAAAUCUGAUGUAGCUUCUGUCAGUAUGGAAGAUGUCCCAGAAUCCAAUGCGAGUACCAGUACCGGAGUGGCAUCAGUUUCAAAAGGAAAGAUGUCCGAUUCCAAGGCACACAAAGAGAAAGUCAAGAAAGCUGGGAGAAUAGGUAAACUAACCCUUCAUAAUAAUAGAACCACACUUUUAUAGUUCAUUAUGAGCGAGUUAUGUGGAUGUGUGUUGUGAAAAUGACUGAAUCAACACUUUCAAAUAUUACAAUUCUUAUUUUUAACUUCUCAGCUGUCAAACGACCAAAGUCCAAGUUCUCUGCUGGAGAUGCUCACAAAAAAGCCACCACAUACGUAGUUGCAGCUCUGGAUGAAAUGAAAGAACAUCAACUGUUUAAGUCUGCUACUUAUCCAAUAGCACUGUGUGUCAUGAGUUUACUUGUAAGCUUGACUGAAGUGACAAGUUCGGAAGAAUUUAAAAACUUCAGUUUAUCUACAGUAACUUCGCUGUGGUUGGUUGUCACUGCUGGAGAUGCAAAACUGUUGAAACCAGAGGCAUAUGAUGCCAUGUGGAAAGCUUUUCAUCAGUACCGUUUGAAAAGUGUAAACACAUGGAUCAGUUUUCUGAAAUCGCUCAACAUAAGCCACAAUGGACAAUUUGCUGAAAUCUGUUAUCAGUAUUUAUUGCAGUCUAUUCUGUAUUUGAUUAUCAAAGACAAAAACACAGCCGAUCUUCCAGAAAAAGAAAACACUCCCGAAAUGAAACCCAUAACUCCCGAAGAAGAACAAGUACUGAGAUAUGUUGCUGGUUACAUACCCUAUAGUCUAGACCAGAAAUUGAAAAAACAGCAGAAUGAAACUGCACAGACAUUUUGCAAAUUUUUAAGAACUUGGCAAGUUUGUGUCACAAAUACAGCACAAACAUUUUUGCAGUAUACAAAUGAAUGGAUUGUCACUCAAAAUCGAGGGGGGUUGUUCCAUGUUUCUGAUGGGAUUUAUCUUUUAAUUCGUAGUAUGGAACUUGUAAGUAGGAAGUUUUGAACACAGACGACAUACACAAUUUCAGUGGUGUAGACAUCCAGAGUAUUUUAUGUAAAAACAUUUUGUCAAACAAACCAGUGCAAAACUAUUGGUGUAGCAUAACGCAAGGUAAAAUAAAUGGAGAAAUUUCAGAAAAAUUGUUAGAGAUUGUUGUGUUCAAGUGGAUUAAAAUACGAACUAAAGCUUUCAUAAAUGUAUAUCUGAAUCUUAAAAAGGCAACUAACGGAAAGGUUUCUAAGAAGGCAGAAAGGCACUUCGCAAAGAUCUGGCAAAAGAGUGAAAAUCUACGUGGACGCGCCAACUUGGAAUUUUAAAAGAAAUUGUCAUGCACUCAACUGUCAAAUUUGUUUUCCAAGUUUCUAAACACUUCACAUUUAGAUCAAUUUGUUGUUUUGACACUGGUAAAACUGACUAAAUUCGCAAUUUCAAAAGAAUACAGAACAUUUUUUAACUUGUUGAACCUUCCCUGCAUUAAGAUUUAAAGGAAAUAUAAGCUCAUACAUGUACAAUCAUGUAACAAAAUUUAGAAAAUGCCAGCCAACGAAAAAGUGUGCACUUCCAACAUCAAUAAUGUCCAUGUAAUAUCUCUGAAAAUUUGAAAUACAUAUACAUGUAUUUGUCAAAACUAUAUAUGAUAAUGUACAGUUUUUACAUAAAGCUUAGUUUCAUUGAGGUAAAUAUAUUAUGCCAACCAAGUCUCAA